GAUGAACGCUGGCGGCGUGCCUAAUACAUGCAAGUCGAGCGAACGGACGAGAAGCUUGCUUCUCUGAUGUUAGCGGCGGACGGGUGAGUAACACGUGGAUAACCUACCUAUAAGACUGGGAUAACUUCGGGAAACCGGAGCUAAUACCGGAUGAUAUUUUGAACCGCAUGGUUCAAAAGUGAAAGACGGUCUUGCUGUCACUUAUAGAUGGAUCCGCGCUGCAUUAGCUAGUUGGUAAGGUAACGGCUUACCAAGGCAACGAUGCAUAGCCGACCUGAGAGGGUGAUCGGCCACACUGGAACUGAGACACGGUCCAGACUCCUACGGGAGGCAGCAGUAGGGAAUCUUCCGCAAUGGGCGAAAGCCUGACGGAGCAACGCCGCGUGAGUGAUGAAGGUCUUCGGAUCGUAAAACUCUGUUAUUAGGGAAGAACAUAUGUGUAAGUAACUGUGCACAUCUUGACGGUACCUAAUCAGAAAGCCACGGCUAUCUACGUG
rnacentral:rRNA from 1 species